GAAAAGUGGAGGGAGGAAAAUAAAGGAAACGGAACUGGAGUGAAGAACUUCCACACUACGGCAAGGUUGGGAUACAAACAGAGAUGGAACUCCGACGAGGGGUCAUCCGACGAUCGUGUGAGGCGGUGCUUGGGUGGGUGGAAAUCUUGGUGUGGCUUGUGUAUAGAGAGGUCUCAAAGGCAAGGGAAGGUAUGAGAUUUAUAGAAUCUGAUUUUUUGUUUUUGUUUUGAGAAGAUGAAAUUGUGAAUUUGAUUAGUUACCUAAAUGCAUUAGCUUUGUAUUUUAUUGUGUGUGGAACCAAUGCAGAUUGGCCAACACUCAUCUUGGUUGUUGAGUGAUUUUUCACAUAUUGUUGUAUAUGAUAUUUCUCUGUGAUGUUGUGUUAGUGUUGCUGCUACUAAUCUUGGAAGUGAUGAAGUGUUUAUAUAUAAAAAUAUCCAAACCAAUUAAGGAUAUUCACAUAGCCACGUGUGUUGUUUGAGGGUAUGUUUAUUUAAUGAGUGGAUUUGUGAGAUGGGAUUAAUAUUUGAUCAGAUCUGUAAGGUGGGGAAGUCCCAACAUAUGAAUCUGAUAUCUUUGAUUAAUCAUUAUAGGUUAAUACGUAUGGUGAGGUAAAUGUUUCAUAGAUUUAUUUUCAAUUCUCUUUUAUUUUCAGAUUUGUUGAUUCCAGAUUUGUUGGUUCCAGAUUUAUUUUCAACUCUCUUUUAAAUUUGGUUGGUUUCAGAUUUGAUGAUUAGCAUAUCUUCGACUGAUACGCUUGAUCCAUUGUUGGCCAAGCAAGCAAAGAAGACAUCUAAGUUGGACUAGUAUGUCCACUAAAAGAUUCACUCUCCAUGCACACCAUGCACGUCCACCCCAUUUAUUGCAUUUAAUAUUUUAAUAUUAUUUUAUUAUGAUUAGGGGAUAUUCAUAAUUAACCCCAUGCAAAAGUUAAUUUGAUAAGUAGCUAUAAUUUAAAAUUUCCUUCCGAUUCUAGUUGAUUGGCAAUUAACUAUAAUUUAGGAUAUUUUUAUUAUUUUAUUAAGAUAUGAUUUUAUUUGUAAGGCUAUACAAAGUCACGUUAGUAUGGAAUAAAGGAAUCAACUUUGAAUAUUAUAAUUCUUUUCAAUUGUAAGAGAUCUGAGAAGCUCUGGUCUCCUUUCCCCUGGUACGAAGCGUAUCAAUUGGUGCUUUCAAUUCGUCCAACUCACCUUCCACAAUGGUAGGAAGAGGUACUUGCUCUACGCAAAACGAGAUUGAGGAUCUUCGAGGAAGUGUGGACGAGUCCUUACAAUUUCAAGUUGCGGAGAUUGCAGUCUCUAGAGGAGAGAUGGCUAAAAUCCAAGCGGCCUUGCAAGAGAUCCUUAAUAAAGACAAAGGGAAGAGUCUGGUCGAGGAGGUUGAAUACAACAACCACCAACCAUCAGAUCGUGACAUCGAAUUCCAAUGAGGUCGUACCAGACAUCACGGUCGUCAUCAUGGUCUGAUGUAUUCACCGAACACCCGUCGCCGCUUUCGCAAUCCGGAUGAUUUCGAUGAUAAUUACACCGACGAUUACGAAAAGGAUGGCCAUAAUAUUGACCUACCGAAGGCACACUUGCGUUUUGACUUUCCGAGAUUCACUGGAAAGGAUCCCCA
rnacentral:lncRNA from 1 species